rnacentral:tRNA from 1 species
AGCAAAAGUGGCGCAGUGGACGGUUGCUGGGCCCAUAACCCAGAGGUCAAUGGAUCGAAACCAUUUCAUGCUA